AUUGACUCUAAAGCAUUUUCAGCUAUAAUUUUGCUUAUCUCAUGACUCAGUAGUUCAUUUUUAAAUAUAUGCUACAAAAUAGAUGCUAAUUAGAAUUCCAGACUAAAGCCAUCAAAAAUAGAAACAUAUUCCACUGUCUUUCAAUUAUUCCCUUUUACCUAGUAUACAAUCCAGACCCCCCACUCAUGUUUUUUUUUUAAUUUCAAUUAACAUUUCUAGAACAACUCAUUCACUUGACAAAUAAUAACUUUUGAAAUGGUUUUUUCUUAUUAACCAGUCAUCAAGUCUUCUUCGAAAGUUCUCACAAUCAUUUCUUUUCUUUUUUUUCACUUUCAGGCUGUAUGUUGUGUUAAGGGUAAGUGAUUUAUUUGGGGGGUAUGAUAAUUGCAUGUCUAAGAAAUUUUCUGUAAUUUUUUAUUCAUCCAUGUAUGCUAAAUGCCUGCAAAGUUCAUAUUGAUCAAAAUGUACUAAUUUCCUAACUAGCUUGACUCUAAGCUAAUCUAUUGUAAAAAAGUUUUUACAGUAAAAUCGGUAAAGUGAUAUUUUUUUAGAUUAGAUACUAUACUCCACAUUGGUACUUUUAAUGGCUUCCAAACUAUGGCUUCCCAUUCCUUUUCACACUUUCCAGUUUGGUUCCAGCUCUAUAUUAUUUGAACAAAACAUAAUAAUGAAUUCAUAAUAAUGAAUUCAACCACAUGAGUUAAAUGAACUGAAGAAUUUAUUUUAGUACCCAAAGCCUUAGUAUCCUGAUCCUCAGCACAAGCACAACAGUUGGCACAUAGUAGGUUCCUAAGAAAAAGAUAUAUAUUAGGCAUUCAUUUCCUUUCCUCCUAUUUAAAUCCGCCUAGUAGUUUCAAACUUCUGCACUUUUUCUAAUCCCUCCCUGUCUACAGGAGUGUUAAGCACAUUGUAAUUAUCAUAUCAUAUAAUCCUCAAAAUUUGCUGCUCAAUUUUACUGAUGAGUGUUUGAAGCCUAUAGAAGUUUAAAAGCUGACAGAUUAGGGACCAUGUAGAAUGUUACACAAAACAUUGGGGAUUUGAUAUUGUAGAAACUAUGCUGCUCUUCCUUGUCUUUGUAAAAUCUGAAAAUUCUACUUUGGCCAUUUAAUUUCUAAAAGUAGAUUGUAAAAUUCAUGAACAUUAUAAAGUCUGUUACUGAGAAGUGAGGUAGAAUGCCAACUGAGCCAGGUGACCAGGCUUCACUAUGUUUUGUCACUAAAUAACUGUGUGGUCUUGGACAUGCUACUUUGUGUUUUGGACAUCAAUUUUCCUUCUUGUUAAAUGAAGGUACCCAAAUAGCUAUGUAAUAAAUAUCACUAAGCUCUAAAUAUUGUGGUUGUCAUUAUCAUAGUCUGACAUAAAAUAGAUUGAAAUACAAUUUCUUUAUAAAACCGACAAAGAAUAUAUAUCUGAUUUAUCAGAUCAUAAUUUGGCUGUGAAUAAAGAAUCAGGUGCUAAGGAUAGAAUUUAUGAGAUAAAGAAUAUAAUCUUCUCGACAAAAUGAAAACCCAAAGUAAAAACUGAUUUAAUAUAGUCAGACAUCUGGAUAUGUGACUAAAAUCUUCAGCUUUCAUGUGGCUGUUUGAUUUUGUGUGAAUAAUAUCAACUUAAAAAUGUUAGGACAAACUACCAGGUAUAAAAUAAAUAAACAGCAAAGAUUCAUUGUACAAUACAAGGAAAUAUAGCUGUUAAUACAUAAAAACUUAAAUGGCGUAAAUCUAUAAAAAUACUGAAUCACUAUGUUGUACACCUGAAACCAACAUAGUAAUGUAAAUCAAGCAUACAAUAAAAAUACUGGAACUAAAUUCAUAUCAAAAUAAAUAACCGGGCUUACCUAAUUUGAAAAAAAAAUAAUUUUUGAUUAAUUUAGCCUUAAAGAUAAAGACAAUAAUAGUUAUUUUGGCAUUUAAAAUAUUUUCUAUUAUUUUAUAAAAUAUAUUUAGCAAAAUAUCUAGGUACAUACCGAAGAAUAAGUGAUUCUGCAUAAAAUACAUUUUUUCUACUUUUUAUUGUUUUCCCAUUAAUUCUAAUUUGCUAAAUCAUAGAUUAUUCACCUCUUCUUACAUUAUACCUUUUUCUAGUGAUGAACUCUCACCUAAAAACAAAACAAAACAAAUUUGAAUUUAAAAAAUUGUUCAAUGUCACAAAAUAUUAAGUGAAAAAGAUGAAAAGAGAGUCAAUUAAUAUUUAUAUAUUUCUUGAUAGGUACUCUUUUAUAUUUCAUGAACCAAGAAAAUAGCCCCAAAUUUCAGUGAAUAUAAUUUCAGGGUUGUAGAAUGGUGGGGUGAGGUUUCAGUCACCUGGAGUAUCAUCGGUAGGUUAAAAGUUUAAAUUAUGAUGGAAAUUAAUUUUAAAAACAUAACAGCAGGCCUUUUAACUAUGAGGCAGAAAGCAUAUAGUCUCUUAUGGUAGAAAGAAGUAUAAUUAAAAAGCUAUCAAUAGUCUGUCAUUGUCAAAACUACCUUUGUCACCUGAAGCAUAUUCUUUGUAAUUAUAUUUUAGGCUUUAAGCUAGAUCACCAUUAACCUCAGAAAAAAAAGUAAGCAUUGCUAUGCUUUCUGGUGUGAGAAAUUAUAUCAUCAUGUAAAUUAAACCUCAUUCAGCAGUCAAAUUAGAUUUGGGAAAUGAUUGAGUAUUAAACCUACUCGUUUAUAUUAUCAAAUGACACCACCCUGAGAGCACUAGGGGAAAAGAGGAAGAGUUUCCCUUCUUUUGAAAGAUUUCAAGAUUCCUUAUAUGUAUUGAAUAUGAUUUUGAGCAGACAUCAGAGAAAUAAAAUUGAAGCAAUAGAAGGGAAAUGCAAAGAUAUUUUUAGCCUUUCCCUAAUGAUUUCUUUUCAGCUCUCAGACAGUACAAAAUGAGUCAACACUUAAGUAAGCCAGAAAUAAUAUAAUGAGUCUGCAAAAUUAUAGCUACCUACAGCUCAGAUCUUCAAUCAAGUAAUUGUUAAAGCCUCACUCACUAGGAGAAGGAACAAAUAUGUUCUCAAUUGAGCUUGCUUAAUAUUUUUAACCUUAUUGUCAAAGAAAGGAGUCAUAAUUAUGAGCACAAUACAUGAAGCAGAAAGCAGCACGAUUGCAUCGUCCUAAUGAUUAAUGUUUUUCCCCAAGGUGGUCUCUUCAGUGGUAGAUGAAGGAAUUCUAUGCAGCUUUCUAUCCCUGAUAAGAUGGUGGAGCCUAAUGCCAAAUCAUCAGCUACUGUCUUUCCUGAGUACUACUUGUAAAAAGUUAUGUUAAUUGAUAUAAGUGAUUAUCAGCUGUAUGCAGGAUAUAACCUAAAAGCAAAUGUGCAGUCAUAUUGAUCUAAUGUUGGAGACACAGGGCACACUGGAAGGUACUCUAUUGUAGCAUUAUUUGCAAAGAAACCUAUAACACAAGGUUUUUCUACCUUGAUGUGAUUGUCAUUUUGGCCAGAAAACUCUGUGUAUAAUAGCAUGUUUAGCAGCAUCCCUGGCUACUAGCCAUUAGACGCCAGUAGCAACCACUCAUCCUCAGUUGUGACAAACUGUCCCCUGGGAGGCCAAAUUGCCCCCAGUUGAAAACCACUUGUGCAAGAGCCUUGGAAGUACUAUAGAGCACAAAUGUUAUCUGUAUCUAUACAUCUAUAUGAAUAGACACAGACACACAUACACACACACACACAUAUAUUCACAACUCUAUUUACCAUUAUAUACAUCUAUAUACCAUCAUAUAAUAUAUAUACAUCUAUAAACACAUAUAUGCAUGUAUAUCAAUAUAUACAUAUAUACAAUCAUAUGUAUAUAUAUUCAAUUGUAUAUGUAUAUAUUACAUUUAUAAUACAUAGAUAUAGCAUUAUAUAUAGAGAGAAGCAUACAGGUAUACAUGCAAUAUAUGCAUGUAUAUGUAUUAAUAUAUGAUAUACAUUUAUAUACACAUAUAUAUUGUAUUGUGUGUAUAUAUGUAUAUUUAUAUGUCACAAAACCAUAAAGUCUUAAAACAUAUAAUAUUAUUGCAGAGAGGAUUAAGGUGGCAGAAUAGAAGGACUGGAGCUCAAAUUCUCUCCUAAAAAAACACCAAAAUUCACAACUAAAGGCUGAGCAAUCUCCACCCAAAUGCACUAGAAACCUUAAAAAAGAUACCCUACUCCAGAAGAAAAAGAGGAGGGCACAUCAAGAGGUAGGAGGGGCGAUUUCAUGAUAUAAACAACCCCACACCAUUGGGGUGGGAAGCUCCACAGACUGAAAACUAACUGGUUCACAGAGACUCACCUACAGGAGUGAGAGUUCUGAGCCCCACAUCAAACCCUCACGUGCGGGGAUCUGGCACUGGGAGAAAAAGCCCCUGGAGCAUCUGGCAUUGAAGGCCAGUGGGGCUUGUGUGCAGGAGCUCCUCAGUACUGGGGGAAAUGGAGACUCCAUUCUUAAAAGGCACACACGGACUUUCACCUGCCCUGGGUCCCAGGGCAGAGCGAGGUCUCCAUAGGAGUCUGAGUCAAACCUGACUGCAGUUCUUGGAGGACAUCCUGGGAAAACAGGGGUGAAUGUGGCUUGUUGUGAGGGAAGGACAUUGAAGGUAAAGCUCUCGGGAAUUUUCAGCAGCUGCCUUUCUCUGGAGGUGGCCAUUUUGGGAAAAUCGGCCCCACCCAUCAGUCAGCACUGAUAAGCCCCGGGCCAAACAACAAUCCAGGUGGGAGUACAGCCCCACCUUCAGUAAACAGGCCGCCUAAAGACCCCUCAGGCACAUAGCUGCCUCUAAUCCCAUCCAGAGGCUAAACCCCACCCACCAGAGGGAUUAGAAUCAGCUCCACAAACCAGUGGGCAGGCAUCAGCCCCUCCCAUCAGGAACCCUACAGCAAGCCCCCCAUACCAAAUUCAGCCACAAGGGGGGCAGACAUCAGAAGUAAGAGAGGCUACAACUCUAGUAUCUGUAAAAAGGUUACCACACCAAAAACCUAUCAAAAUGAAAAGACAGAGAGCUAUAACUCAGAUGAGGGAGAAAGAAAAAACCCCAGAAAGUCAGCUAAGCAAUGAGGAGAUUCUUAGCCUCCAGGAAAAAGACUUUAGAUUGUUGAUGCUGAAGAUGAUGCAAGACAUUGGAAAUAAACUGGAGGCAAAGAUGGAUAACUUACAGGAAACACUGACCAAAGAGAUACAAGAUAUUAAAUUUAAAAAAGAAGUGAUGCAAAAUACAAUAACUGAAAUAAAAAAAACUCACUAGAAGCAGCUAACAGCAGAAUACAGGAGGCAGAAGAAGGAAUAAGCGAGGUGGAGGACAGAUUAGUAGGAAUUACAGAUGCAGAACAGAAAAGAGAAAAAAGAUUGAAAACAAAUGAAGAGAGUCU
rnacentral:lncRNA from 1 species